rnacentral:rRNA from 1 species
CCUACGGGCGGCAGCAGUGGGGAAUAUUGCACAAUGGGGGAAACCCUGAUGCAGCGACGCCGCGUGAGUGAAGCAGUAUUUCGGUAUGUAAAGCUCUAUCAGCAGGGGAGAAAAUGACGGUAACUGAUUAAGAAGCCCCGGAUAAUUACGGGCCAGCAGCCGCGGUAAUACGUAGGGGGCAAGCGUUCUCCGGGUUUACUGGGGGGAAAGGGAGCGUAGACGGCAGCACAAGUCUGGAGUGAAAUGCCGGGGCUGAACCCCGGAACUGCUGUGGAAACUGUGCCGCUAGAGUGCAGGAGAGGUAAGUGGAAUUCCUAGUGUAGCGGUGAAAUGCGUAGAUAUUAGGAGGAACACCAGUGGCGAAGGCGGCUUACUGGACUGUAACUGACGUUGAGGCUCGAAAGCGUGGGGAGCAAACAGGAUUAGAUACCCUAGUAGUC